UAAACAGUUGUUUAUAUAGCUGAGCUCC
rnacentral:piRNA from 1 species